GACCUGAGCGGAAAUCAAGAAUAGGAGGCUUAAUGGACUGAGCCACCCGAGCACCCCCUGCCUGGGAUUUCUAAUACUUAUUCCUUGUCUUUCCACUUUCGCAGUUCCCUGAGGACAGACACAGUUUCUUUCUGGUGUCUGGAUCCCUGCGAGCUGCCCCCCUCCACACACACACACACACACACACACAUACAGACACACAGCACCUGGCUCACUAUGAUGGUGAGUGAACACAAUAGAAGUCAGCCUUUCAGUGUCUCCCUCAUUAAAAAAGAGACAGAAAGGAGAUCCCUGGGUGGCUCAGCGGUUUGGUGCCGCCUUCCACCCAGGGUGUGAUCCUGGAGUCCCGGGAUCGGGUCCCAUGUCGGGCUCCCUGCAGGGAGCCUGCUUCUCCCUCUGCCUGGGUCUCUGCUUCUCUCUCUGUGUGUGUCUCUCUCAUGAAUAAAUAAAUAAAACCUUUAAAAAAAGAGAGAGACAGAAGGACAUUAUAGAGCAAUAUCUGGGACCCAGUAAGAAAAAGAUGUGAAAGAGCGUCAGUGCUUACGUAAAGGUAAAUAUUAAGGGAAAAGAACCCGAGGUGCGGGGGCACCUGGAUGGCUGGGUGGUUGCGUGUCUGCCUUUGGCUGGGUCCCUGCCUCUCUCUCUCUGUCGGUCUCUCAUGAAUAAAUAAAUGAAAUCGAAGGAAAGAAAGAGAAAGAAAAGAAAAGAAAAGAGAAGAAAAGAAAAGAAAGAAAGAAAGAAAGAAAGAAAGAAAGAAAGAAAGAAAGAAAGAAAGAAAGAAAGAAACCGAGGUGUGAGCAGAACAGUAAGACAGAAAUCCAAAAAAAAAAAAAAAAAAAAAAGGCAGAAAUCCAACAGUUCUCUUCUGGAACCAUCAGCAUCCGAAUCCGGAAUCGAAAACUGCUCGGUCUGGGUCUCUGCAGGAGAAUCGCCAUCGCUGAUGAUGGUGCCAGCGAGAAGGGUUACGGCCGCUCCAAAGAAGCUCGAGUCCGGAUUUCCCUCCUCGGCUUUCGGCUGGGGAGGUGAUGCCGGGGUCCGGGGAUCGAGUCCCGCAUCGGGCUCCCUCUGCCCGGGUCUCUGCCUCUCUCUGGGUAUCGCAUGAAUAAAUACAUAAAAUCUAAACACAAAACAAAAACCGUCACCAACAACCCCCUCCACACACACACACACACACACACCUUGUUCCAGGCCCAGGCUCCAAAGAUAGACAAAGGUGUUAGAGGUGGGUCUCCCUGAAGGGCCUCCAAGGUCCUUCCCGGAGCCAGGCCUCCAGCCGUCCGCACCAGGCCGAUUUUUCUCAGACCAGACACCCACCACCCAUAGGGAGUCAAAAUGAGAACUUCAGUCCUUUGUAUUAUUACCCUCCUGGAAAGAAUUCCUACAUUCAGGCAUACCCAGCGUUCAUGCUUUUAGACCGGUGAUCUUACUAUGGACGCUUAUUAAAAGGCCCCUGAUAAAUCAGAGGCCUGCGGGAGGUCCCCACCCCCUUACCUGGCCGAGUGGCACAGCAGAGAGCUGGGGGGGCCUCCGAUACCCGCACAGGCUGCAGAACCCAGAGCUUGGAGACCUGGUCUGGCUUGGAACAAGGGGUCGCUGCUGCCACCGCCGGUGGACACUGGGUUGGGUGGUGCAUGCCAACACCAGCAGGUGGCGGUUGGGGUGGGGGGGGGUUAGCAGGUCCCUGGGUCUCAUCGCCCACUCGUGGUCCACUCCCCAGGUGGGAGGCAGAGGAGGAUGUCCUCAUCAGCAUCCUGCUUGAGCAGGAGAAGAGCCACUUCUCACUAUGAAAGUACCUCGGGGGGAUUCCCGUUAAAUAAAACUGCUUGGCGAUGACCUAAUUUGUUCGUU
rnacentral:lncRNA from 12 species